CUACGCUGCGAUAAGCCGUGGGGAGCUGCGAAGAAGCUUUGAUCCACGGAUUUCCGAAUGGGGAAACCCACCUUCGAUAGCCGGAACUCCAAGACCUUGUGUUUUGGGGUUCGACCAGAAAUGGAAGAAAUCAGACCGCGAGGUUUUGGAUUUCCGGUUAUCAAGAGAAGGUAUGAGACUUCCGAAUAAAAUAGGAGGUUUUGAGCAAACCCAGGGAACUGAAACAUCUAAGUACCUGGAGGAAAGGACAUCAAUCGAGACUCCGUUAGUAGUGGCGAGCGAACGCGGACCAGGCCAGUGAUACAUCAAAGACAAUCGGAACCUGUCAGGAAAGCAGGGCCUCAGAGGGUGAUAGCCCCGUACGAGUAAUGCGAUGAUGUAUCCACGAGUAAGGCGGGACACGUGUAAUCCUGUCUGAACACGGGGGGACCACCCUCCAAGCCUAAGUACUCCUCAGCGACCGAUAGU
rnacentral:rRNA from 1 species